CGAGUCGAAAAAAUGAAUUCGAAAGUGAUAUUUUACAUACAAAUGAACACACAAAAUUCAUCAACUCGACGUCAAAACGACUCGAUUAUACUAUAAGAAUAGAAUACGCCUGAUUGUUUUUGUUUAGUGAAACGGUUACAAAAAUAUUGAAAAUUAUUUUUAUCUUAUUAUCCGUUUACGUUUAUACAUUACCUUUAGCUUCAAACUCAUCAAAAAUCAUAAAUUUUAAAGAUUACUUUUUUUUCAUUUGAAGCAACCCAGGGUACUUGGUGACCAAAAGAGUAAUAUCUGUAAGAAAAACUCUUCGAAAAAUUAACAAAAUUCUUCACCCAAUGGGAAUAAAAACCGCAAGCUCAUAUUGUUUUGGGAAAAGUAUCAGAUCGAACCCCUCUUUCGGCACGGUUGCUGCUUAGAACAUUAUACCUGCUUCUGCAAAACGUUUAGAAAUUAGCUGAAAUCGAGAUUGCUGCGCAAAGCACGAGUUUAAAGCACGAGCUAGAUGCUACAAACGAUUUCAAGCUUUCCAUGAGGUAGCAGUGAAUAGACUAGACUGCAGGUGAGCAAAUAGUUCUGAUUUUAUUCGCCAUAAUAAAAGGGGAUUUCUAUGGAGAUUGGCACACAUUUUGAAAAUAUCAGAGGCCUAUGUCCAAAUGAAAAUCAUCUCCUACAAACAUCAUUUAGUGAAAUGUUCCUUAUAUUGAUUAAAACUAAUUUUGCUUCAAACUUUUUACUGUGUAGCGUAACUAUUAUCCCAAUAUGAAAUGAAAGGAACUGUUAACGAUCUGAUUUUUGUCUCAUAUAAUUUCAUAUAAAAAAUGGGUUGCGGUCCAUGGUAUUCUUUUUAGUAACAGGUUGGCUGAUAAGUCCCCGGUCUAACAAAGAAAAACACAUUUUUUUUGUCAAAAUUCGUUUUUAUUAUUCAACAUAGUUCCCUUCAAGAGCGAUACAACGAUUAUAACGACCUUCCAAUUUUUUGA